UGACUUCUCCCUCUCUGUCUGCCUUUGACGUGCAGCACAGGGAUUCAGAGACCAUCUGCAGCGUUACUCUGGGAAAAAGUGCAUUGCUGAUGCCAUGAAAGGGAAGUAUUAGUAAAGGGUUGAUGGUGAAGAUGAAGUUCUCUUACUCUUCCCCAUAUAUCUGCAUCUGCCAGAGGGGAAUCCACCUGCAGAUAGGGUGAAAAACAUAUACCACAAAAUGAAUACAUUGCAUAGCACAUAAGCUUCACAGCUUAACACAUGAAUACUGACACCUUCAAAGUGAGUGGUUAAACAUAUAAAGAAUGAUAGAUCUUCUUUGCCUAUAUUUUGGCUAUAGAAAAUGUAAAAUAAUACAAGGUCUCAGUGUUUAGUAAGCAAAUGUGAAGAGACAGACAUCAGCUAACUACUGAAGACUACAUUUUGUUAAUAAAAGGCUGCUACACAGCAGCUUUUUCUCACAGAUAGAGGAAAAACUCUUUGGAUGAUGUCACUGAAGACAGAAUGUGAGUGCAUCGUAAGUGGUCAGUAAGAUUUCAUAAAAAUGUUGCAGAUAACCCUUGAGGAUGAAGGCUCUUAGCUUUGCCAUCCAUCUUUACAGGCUGCUGCUAAAUUUUCUCAAGCUGUAGAGCAUUAUUUAUGCAGAGCAGCAUCUUCCUGCAGCUUGUUUAUUCAUUCUGCCUCAGUUUGGGCAACAUCAAGAAUGACAGCACCACAUGUCCUCUGUGGAGGCUGGAAACUUGGGCCAGGACUUUUUGAAGCAGGAGAGAUCAGAGGAACUCACAUGGACUGAAGAAGCAGAUUGCCAUGACAAGUUCAGAGCCAAGUUAACCUUCUGAGUUGUUUCUUCCUCAUAAUCUCCCUCUGCCAGCCAGCUGAAUUUUGUUUUAACCUUUUAAAGAAACGAGGAAUCAUAAUUCCCCUCCUAAUUUAUUAUGAAGCAACUCCAUAUCCAUCCAUAUAUGCUUCUUUGGCUAUGGCUAAUGAAAUGUCUUUUUUAAACAGCAACAUGAAGAGAUUUUAUAGUCUGUCUUUUCCACGCUGAAAGUGCAUGCAAUGUCAGUGUCUGGAAUUUGGGAAACAUUUUCUGUUGAGAGGAUUUGUUAAAAUAAUGUCUGCAUACCACUUGUCAAGAAACAUGGAUAACGACAUUUUAUAUUUUUAAAUAAAAACACAAUAAUCAGGUUUUAUACCA
rnacentral:lncRNA from 1 species